rnacentral:lncRNA from 9 species
AGAUGAAGAAAUGGGGUUUCCAAGAGGAUAGAUAACUUGAAAUAAGUGGAAGAGUUGAGUUUCAAUUGUAGGUCUGUCUGACAGUCUAGGUUCAAUUUUAUUUCUAAAGCCCACCAUAGAAGAAAUCCUUAUCAUCUUUUAUGAUAAAUAAAUAUUUACCAAGUUGAAUGAAUAUAUUUUUUUCUCUGUAUCUUGGCAUUGCAUUUGCACACAUGGCUUUUCCCUUUAAUGCCGAUACAUCAAAUCUUUGAUUUGAGUUUGAAUUUUUUAAAAAUACAAAAGUGUGCUCGGGGAUAAAUUAGUGACAAAAAACCCUUUGAAACUCUGAGAUGUGACAUGCUUUUUUGUGUAUUUUAAUGUAAUAAAAUAUAUUCAUUACAUAUGAAUUGGUGAGGUCUUAAAGUAGUCCUGAAAUUUAUUGUAAAAUUGUUAUAGAACAAUAUAUAAUCCAACCUUAUGAACUCUGAAGAUUUGAAACCAGAAUAAGCAUCCAAAUAUCAGCAAGAUUUAAAAAAUUAAACAAGUAAUUACUGCAUACACACUAUAAGCCAAAGACACACCAGGCCCUAUAUUCUGGUUCUGAGUAACAAAGAUAGUGUAGUUGCUAUUAAGGAUCUCACGCAUUUUGAAAAUUAUGACUAAUGUAUAUAUUUUUAAAUCUCAAAACCGAAAUCUACUAAGGGGAGUGAUUUAGGAAUACUUCUUUGAUUCUAAAGAUACUUAAUGUUAAAACAACAUUAGUAUAUAUUUACAUGUUUUUACAUUAAUGAAAAACAUGUGAAUGUGUUUUGAUGUAUUUUGAUUGUUUCAGGGCAACACAGACAAGCCUAGAACAUCGACAAUUAGCUGGCCAUUUGUAUUUAUGUGAAAAACAUGUAAUAAGUACCAAUCAUUCAGUUAUUUUCUGCCGUUACUAUUUUACACAUGAUUCAAAAUGGUAUGUGGUAAAAUUAGUAUAAAUAUUAGGUUUGAUUAAUAUUUAUUAGUUUAAUUAUAUUAAAUAAAAUAGUUUCAUUUGAUUGUGGUUGAAAUUCUUAAAUCAUUUGUGAUUUAUUGAAAUGAAAACCUUUCCCCAUAGUUCUCACCAUUUUCAAUUUCAAAGGUUCAUAGACUUGCAUUGCCUCCUUUGAAUGAUCUAAUUUAACUGAAAUCAAACCAUCAGAGUUUCUUUGGCUUAACAAUCAUGCUGGAUAAAAAAUGUUAGGGUUUCUAGAAGGUUUAGCCUUAAUAUUUGGCAAAAAACAAUUGUAGCUGAUGACCUAUAGAACAAUUCCUAUACAUCCUACCAAAAGAGACACAAAGGCCACAGAAAACCCCUGAAAUAAACUAAUAAAACACAGUUGUUUGGAGUUCCUGUUGUGGCUCAGCAGAUUAAGAACCUGAUUAGUAUCCAUGAUGAUGCAGGUUUGGUCCCUGGCCUUGCCCAGUGGGUUAAGGAUCUGGUGUUGCUGCAAGCUGCAACCUACUUGGUUACAGAUACAGCUUGGACCCCACAUUGCUGUGGCUGGGGUAUAGACUGGCAACUGCAGCUUUGAUUCGAUCCCUAGCCUGGGAACUUCCAUAUGCUGCAGGUGUGGCUGUAAAAAGAAAGGAAAACAAAACAAACACACAGUUGUUCAAGCUUGAAAUAAAUAGCAACGAGGAUUUAUAUUCAGAUAGGUGUUAAGGUUAGUUUUUACUGCUAAGCAACCAGUUGACCCAAGUUAAUUUCAAUUACCAUUGUAGCAUCUCCUAAUGGGAACUGUCAGUAAGGAGGAUUUUCAUAACAUGCAGAAUGUAGUGAUGCUUCCACUCCCUAAUCUUUACCUUUAAAAAGUGACUUCAUACCUAUGAGUGUGUCUAUGGAGCCAAAGGAGAUGGGGAAAUAUGAAAAUUAUUGGGAUAAGUCAGGCUACAAUAAAACUUUUAUUAACAUUAUCCAGGUAAUAUUAAGUAUCUGCUUUUUUUAUAUUUGAACCAUCUAAUUACCUCUUUCCUUUGUUGCUUUUGUGUUUAGACACCAGUGAAGUCACAUGCAAUCGAACUUAGUGGUACUGGCAUGAAUUUUUUCUUCCUCCUUAUUACAUUAUUCUUGUCUUUUCCACUAGUUGAAAAUACCAGGUCUUUGCUGACUUUUCUAUUUCUACAGCCCAGUCUAAAGCAGAACGACCAUCUCAGCUAAGAGUGUUUGUAGGGUCCCAAUGUAGGAAUAAUGGUUCUCAUGGAAAUCUUGGCUUCCUAUUCCAGUUCCCUUAAAUCAGCUAGAGAGAUAGUGGGUUUAUUGUGAUUAUCAGCUGGCAUUCUAGGUAAUGGCAAUAUAAAACUCCUCCCAUCCCCACCCGCAGCUAAUCUCUUGUGUGAAUACUGGAAAGACAUUGUUGAGUCAUUUUGGAGUCACAAUCCUCACACCAAGAGCCUCUUACAAUUUCACUAUUUCUACUUAUUUUUUUUAAUAAUGCCAAAAUAAGCCUUUAUAGAUGUCAUCAUGCCCUCUAGACACAAUAUAGUUGAUUUCUCUUUGCUGAUUGACUCUUCUAACCAAAUCAAGUUUAUCAACAUACUUUUCAUCCAGUUAAGGUUCAAGAGACAUGGCUGAUGUCAAAUAUGUUUACUGUGUAACUAGUAGAACAUAUAAGGGUAAGAAUAUACAGACACUAGUAGGGGUAGUAAAUCGAAUCAAAAUAGCAAUUUAUCACUUUCAUCUAUUAAACUUGAAAAAAUUUUUUUUCAAAAGAUUAUUCAUUUUUAGUAAGUUAUGACAAAUGACAUUCUUUAGGGAAUUGCUGUUUGCUAGGACAUUGGUAAAAUUGUUUUGGAAAUGAAUUUGCAUACUUUAAUGUUUACACACUUUGGAAUAGCAAUUUCAUUUUGAAGGGAUAUUUUACACCUAUGAAAUACUUAUGUAGAAGACAUUACAUGUUGAAUAGUCCAUUAUUUCACUGUUAUUGGCAAAAGUAAAUAAUAGAAGUCUACCACUAAGAAGUUAUUAUAAAACUGUGGAAUAUCUUGCUAUUUUGCAACUUCUUUUUCUUGCUUGCUUGCUUGCUUGCUUUUUAGGGCUGCACCUGCAGCAUAUGGAAGUUCCCAGGCUAGGAGUGGAAUCAGAGCUACAGCUGCUGGCCUAUGUAAUAGCUAUAGCAACAAAGGAUCUGAGCCUCAUCUAGGACCUACGCUGCAGCUCUUGGAAAUGCUGGUUCCUUAACACAAUGAUUGAAACCAGGGAUCAGACCCACAUCCUCAUGGAUGCUAGUCAGGUUCAUAACUUGCUGAGCCACAACAGGAACUCCCUAUUUUUCAAGUAUUUACAUUGAUAGAAAUGAUGCCACAUCAUGGGAGGACUGUUCAUAAAAUGAUGUAAAAGUUAAAAAGUAACUUGAAAACUUAGAUAUCAGUAUGAUUACUCUUGAAAAUUGGUAUAUAGUAUUAGUGAAUUACUUAAAGUAUUAAUUAAGGUAAUAGAUAAACUCUGAAAUUUCAGUGGUUUUAUAAGACAAGGUUAUUUAUCUCUUGUGUAAGACUAAAAUAAUUCGACACUGGUGUUUGGAGGGGAAAUUUCCAGGUGAUUCAGGGAACAAGGCUUCUUCUACUCUGUGGUUCUGCCAUUUUUUCCAGGAUCUUGGUGUCUUUACCUGCAACUAAGAGAGAUGGAGAACACAGGGCAAAGCCCCACCUACAUUUAACCAACUCAUGCCAUCAGUGACACAAAUCACUCCCAUCAGCUCCUACAGUUCAUGUGGCCCUGCGGGGACACUUCAAGGUGGGAAAUGUAGCCUUCCUGUAUGGAAGCCUGCUUUGCAGCAAAAAUGUUACCUUCAGGAAGGCAAAUGCAAAUUUUUGUUAGAAAACUGGCUGUUUCUGCCACCACUAUCAUGGUAGUAUUACCCAGGAUCUAGAAUCAGACAACAGAGAUUAAAUGGGAAUUAUUGGGAGAAUUAUAUGAAGUAAUCUCUGUAAGGCACAAAGUCAAAAAAUGCUGACUGUUGUGAUAAAGAUAUUCUUGGGCUCUCUCUCUAUAACAUCUCUGAGCACUACUGGAAGGUAAUUUAGCAAAAUGGUAAUUGUGGUGGCAAUAGGUGAUUUUCCUUCCUUUUUCUGUUUUUCAAAUUUUCCCUAUUGUGGUAUGGCAGUUUUUCUCAUAAAUAUUAAUUCAUAUGAAUGUCUGAAUAUAAGAUAUCCAAGAAUUUUAAAAUUUAUUGUACUUAACACUUAUGUGAUGCUUGCUAUGUGAUGGACAUUCGUUUAAGCACUUUAUAAAUCUGUCUGAAAUAGAGACUCUGGAAAAGAAAGCAGGUUGCAGUCUAUAAAUUCAAUGUAAGUAAAUUUGGCUGCACAAGAUCAUUAAUAAUACUUCUAUUAGUAAGCUCUUUCCAAUGUAUAGUUUUCAAUAUACAAAAAGCUAAAAUCAGAUCAUGGUCAUAUUGGUGGCCCCACUUUUUUUUUUCCUGUAAGUAUGUCUGGGGGGUUUGUUUGGUCCAAUUCAGAAGAAUAUUACCCUUGGCAACAGGAGUAGAUAUUUUUACUUUUAUAUUUUAUAGAUGAGAGAACUGAGGUUCAGAGAGGAAGUGACCUGCUUUCACUUGCACCUCUGGGUUGUUCUGAUGCUGGUGAUGUUAGUGGUCAGGAACUGACACAGCAUGGAGCCCUGAGAAGUACUUUUUAUGGCUAAAGGGCGGCAUCUCCAGUGCAUUUGAUGAUUAAGUGAUGGGGGAACAAGGUUAUGUAACAAGCCAUCAGGGAGGAAUAGAUAGAUGGAAGGAACUCGAGACACCUCACUUAUUUGUGAAUUUUGCUUAAGGUUGACGAUAUUUUUUAAAGGCUUCUUAAAUAGUGAUAGGAAAUAGAUUUCAAAAAUGCAAAUAAUUAUACCAACUUGAAGAAUACAAUCUAGGGUUCAUUUAUGUGCUAAACAUAUUCUGUCUUCAGAGAGUAAGUAGACGAAAUGAAUAAAAUGCAAUCUUUUCCAUAGAGCAGCUCAGAGGAUCGGUGGGGAAAGAAGGAAGUGUAAUUACAAUGUAUUUUGUUAUAAGCCAAAACAGAGUAACACCUGAAAUGUAUUUUAAAAUAUGAAAGAGUUUCUUUUAUGGAAAGUAAGACUUUAAAAGCAUAGAGAAAUAACAAGGGAGGUUCUCCAGUAAUAAGAGUAGCUUUCUUCUCUUAAGUUUUAUUCAGAAUGGAUUACCAAUAUUUAGUUGAUUUCGCCAUUAUGUGUCCCAAAUAUUUUAUACACAUGUAUCCUGAAGACAAAGAUUUCUACAGUGCCGACAUUAAAAAUCUUCAAAAUCAAGGGAGCUGUGUUUCAGGAAAUGCUGAUUCAAAUGGUGAUACCACUAAUAUUUAUUGAAUAUGCUUGUAUGCCAAAUAAGUCUCUGUAUUCACCUUACUGCAUACCAAGAUGGGAUUUACUAGAGAACAUUAUGGUAAGAAACAAUAAAACUGCUCUCUCAACAAGAGGAUUUAUUUAUGAGUCAUUGUAAGCUUAUUAGAAAGAAUCAGUCCUAGUGUUGUCUAGCGUUUUUAGUUCUAAAAUAUAAAUGGAUCACUAUUGAUGAGUAGCCAGCUAUUUUACAUUUGAUUCUUCUAUACCUCUGCAUUUCUUGCUCAGUUCCCCUCAAAGGUCAAAUUAACCCUCUAGAACUCCUAUUACAUAAUAUUUCCAAUGAAUAAGAAGACCUUUUAUAAUUGUGAGUGCACGUGUGUGUGCAUGUGUAGGGUGUUUUCCUGGCUAACACAUGUCAGGAUUUGUUUAAACCCCUCGCUUUGUGCUCAAAUGUCACCCUGCCAGAAUUCAUUACAUCCUGUUUAUUAAUUAAUUAAAAUAUAUUUAUACAGAACAGGCUUUAUGAGAUGGAGUAAAAAAUAACGUUAUGAGAGGCAUCCUCCAGACGGAGUGGCUUGUCUCCGAUGGCAACCAGAUAUGCAAACCCAGCAUUUGCUGUCAACCACUGCAAGGGCUGAGAUAAUACAAAAAUUCAGUAAAUAAAGGUAGAUGAUCAAAUGAAUUAUUUUAAUUCUGGCGAUGAAUAUGGGGAAAAUGAACUUUUUUCAAAAAUACCAUAAAAUUACAAAUAUCACUCAUGGUUUUUGAUUUGCAUAACACACCAUUCCCUAAACACACACACACACACACACACACACACACACACACACACACACACACACACAAGUUCUAACAAGGAGAUCUAGUGAGGUGCUAAGGCAGCCCUGAAAAUUCAGCUAAUGCUCACUGACCUUCUACCAACACCAACACUGAACUAGACGCUCCCACUGUCUUUUCAAGUCAACUAACUCCAAGACAUUAGGACAAUUACUUCAUCCCUGUUAACCUUAGAUUCCUUCAUUGUUUUCCAAAUGGGAUUAAACACAAGGGCCCAAUCUGUUGAAGUUACCAUGAAGGUGAAAUAAAGUAUGAGCACCUGUCCCAAAAAGAAAAAUGAAGAAUGACAUAGAAAUAAGGUGUCAUUACUAGAUGGCUUUCUAAGCAUCCUCUUAGGGACAUAUUUUUUUCAAUAUCUAGGCUAUUUGUAUAAGGCUCAGCCCAGAGGUUUGAACCUUGGGUAUAAAAUUUGGGGACGGAAUUCCCACUGUGGUGCAAUGGGUUAAGAAUCUGACUAUAGCAGCCCAGGUCACUGUCGAGGUGCAGUUCGAUUCCCAGCUCAGCGCAGUAAGUUAAAGGAUCCAGGUGGGUUGCAGCUACAGCUCAGAUCCAAUCCCUAGCCUGGGAACUGCCAUAGGGCUUGAAUGCAGUCAUUAAAAAAAAAAAAAAAAAA